CAGUAGCCGCGGGAAUACGUAGGUGGCAAGCGUUGUCCGGAAUUAUUGGGCGUAAAGGGCUCGCAGGCGGUUUCUUAAGUCUGAUGUGAAAGCCCCCGGCUCAACCGGGGAGGGUCAUUGGAAACUGGGAAACUUGAGUGCAGGAGAGGAGAGUGGAAUUCCUCGUGUAGCGGUGAAAUGCGUAGAGAUGUGGAGGAACACCAGUGGCGAAGGCGACUAACUGGACAAGUAUUGACGCUGAGGUGCGAAAGCGUGGGGAGCAAACAGGAUUAGAUACCCGUGUAGUCCCUGUCUCUUAUAC
rnacentral:rRNA from 1 species